GUCUGUGUGUGAUGUAGGGAGAGAAGAGGGAUGACACAUCCAUUUCAUGGGGGCUGGGAGGUUUACUAAGUCUCCACAGAGUUUAACCUUGAAAAGUGACUGGAAAUCCAGCCAACACUCUGAGAGUAAAAGAAGACUUAAAACUCCAGGCCGAGGAUGCGGGAAGCUGAAAUUGUUCAGGCGACAGAGAAGGAACCGGUGGAGAGAUCCUGAUGUUGACAUGCAGGGAGUGUUCAACAUUGCCUUUGCAGCAGGGUGCUGGAAGAGAGAGAAAGAAACAGACUGUGGUGGAGAGGUUGGCCUGGGGUAAGAAGGAUUCUCCCGCCUUUGAGUCACUAAGGGGAUCACAGACCUCCGGACAUGUAAGCCUUCUUGAAUGCAUUCUGGCCCACGGUUUCCUUCCUGUUAUACUACAAUGUGCUGAACAUUGGAAUGUUUUCUUCAGGGCUUUCUUCUUCCUCUGAUAUUUAAUCAAACAUCGGGUGCUUGUUUAUUAGUUAUGUUUUCAUGUUUUCUCCUUUUUUGAAGAUGCAGUCUUUCUGGCACAAGCAUUUGCAAAUUAAGGGUUAUUAAAUCCAGAAGAGCUGAAAAA
rnacentral:lncRNA from 1 species